AUUCUUCUUUUAUAACCAGUAAAGGAGCCCCACCAUAAAGUGGGGCGACAAAAAAUUAGUUUAUACUCAUAGUGUUCCUCCCCACGGAAAUCUUUAGUAAAAGGCGAAAGAUUUAUACGAUAUGAAGAGAAACAUGAGUUCUGAUUUGGAAGGUGGUUAAGUCCACAACCCCGAUCAAACAGAUAUGUUACACAACAACGGUAAACAUGCUCAGCAGUUACAUAAAUGAAUAUUAUACCAUUUCGUUUUACGCAACAUGAUAUAAACAAUUUAAUUGACAAUUUUCUAUACAAUAAAUAAUAAUGUUUUACUAUUUUAUACCAGCGAUGUGUUCUUAAAGCACGGCAUGCCGGGUAGGCCAUGCAAAUAGAUGCCAAUAUUAACCAAUCAGAUGGGAGAAAGUGGGUGGGUGGUGCUUUAGAAUCUGAACCCGGAAAUCAUAGUAACAGUCAUAGCUUGUUUGAUAAUCGGGCAUAGAAAUCGAAAUCUACGCUGUACGUUAUAUAAACACUGUUUUCGCUGUUUUUUUUUUUUUAACAGACCAGAUAUUUUAACACUUGGAGUACACUUACGGAGAAAUUAAAGCUAUGCUUUCAAAGCCAGUCGUGGUAGAAACCUCUCUGCGAGUGUAUACGGGAUUUUACGGUAAACACUGGUCGCUUAGGGAAUUUGUUUAAUUUUGUUUUUUAAAUAAACUUCUGCAAAACGUACAUUCUGUCAUUUGAAAGAGAUGUUAUGUACAGUAAUUAACAAGAAAUUGUGCGAGUAAACGUAGUCAACAUUUGAACUAAAACGAGCAGUACUCCCCCCCAAAGCGCUUGCUGGUUACCGUAAACCCGUGUAUAUAUACUCGCACAGAAUUUCUAUCUCGCCUGGCUUGACCACGGUUAGGUUUCAGACAUGGCGAAUGUUUUUUGUUAGUUGUAGACUACAACAAGUGCUGGUUAUGUCGAAUACAUGAUAGCAUUAAUAAUUUUAGACACUUUUGAAAGCCUGCAAUUACCUAGCUAGUUGAGCUACAUGUGCAUUCUUAGGCAUUUACAAAUAUUUAGGUUUAAUGGCCUGUUCAAUGGAUCUGUGUGUAGUCAUACAGCUAACAGGCUUUCUGUCCUUCAUACCACUAAAACAGCCUGAAAUUCCCUGUAUUGUGUCGCAUGCAGGCCUGUUCAAAUAUAGAAAGCAUAUGUUUUCCAUUAAUAAAUGCACUCUAAGCACAGAGCAGUGACCGAACUGCCCAGAGCUGUGCGAGGGAUUAGCUGGACUCUAUUUCAGUGGACCUGCAAGCAUUGGAAGAAUGGCCCUAUGCUAUUCAGUCUCACCUCUGCUAUUUGAUAACUAGUGGCAUCCACGUUUUAUUUUUGUUCCCCUGACACAGACUGUAUGACACAAUUAGUUGAGGUAAAAGAACACUAAUGUGUGAUAUGAUAACAAAGCAUAAAAUAAGAGAAACCUGAAAUCACAUGUCCAUAAGUAUGUGUGUCCUUCUCUAGUGACUGUAGGCUGCUUCCUAGGGGGCCAAGAAAUAUGGAACGGAGAUUUACUACGAUGUCAGGAGGGGCACCUGGGCUGAAGUGAAGACAGACAGGCAGCUGACCUAUUUCAUCUGAUAGUCCAAGUUAGCGUUGAUGGAUGUGUGAUACAUCUCUGGUCUUCAAACAGAUCUGUUUUCACAUAUCCAAUGCAGCAAGUUGGAAUUUCAAUACAGAUGAUUCCAAUACAGUUGAAUAAAUAGCAUCUGUUUUGUUUUAAA